rnacentral:misc_RNA from 1 species
GGCUUUGAAGAAUCUUCUUCUUACAAAUUUAGACCUUUUUCCCUUUGGUUGGGGUGCAUUAUCACAUCCUCAUGUGAAAUUAUGAAGCUAAUCAGUGAUACUGCAUACUUCAAUUUCUCUUACCAAAAUUGAGAACAUUUAUUAGUAGUAUUAUUCUGAUGUCUCAUGUGCACAAGAUGUUUGUGAUGAUUAAGUGCUGGUUUGCUCUGCCUUUUUGUCUUUCAGUCAUUCCCCUAUGUUACCUACUCAUGCUCUAGGCUUAUCCCAUCAUUAUUCUUAUGCCUUUGCUUGCUGCAUUGCACCAGUCUUCUCUUUUCUGUCAUGAACAUCAAUGUCAUAGUCAGCGAUAAUCAAUCCAAAUGACAUAAAUAAUAAUCUUUUUUUUUUCCAGUGCUCCUAUUCUGACGCAGCUAUAGCUGAUGGUUACUUUAGU